rnacentral:misc_RNA from 1 species
GAAAUGCGAUACGUAAUGUGAAUUGCAAAUUCAGUGAAUCAUCGAGUCUUUGAACGCACAUUGCGCCCCCUGGUAUUCCGGGGGGCAUGCCUGUCCGAGCGUCAUUUCUGCCCUCAAGCACGGCUUGUGUGUUGGGCCCCGUCCUCCGAUCCCGGGGGACGGGCCCGAAAGGCAGCGGCGGCACCGCGUCCGGUCCUUGAGCGUAUGGGGCUUUGUCACCCGCUCUGUAGGCCCGGCCGGCGCUUGCCGAUCAACCCAAAUUUUUAUCCAGGUUGACCUCGGAUCAGGUAGGGAUACCCGCUGAACUUAAGC